GUGAAUCAUCGAAUCUUUGAACGCGAAUUGCACUCUCUUCGGAGAGUAUGCCUGUUUGAGGGUCAGCCUAAAAAAAAUCGACAUAGUUGCUGUUACGCGGUAACGUUCGUCGGAAAUUGGGUCAUCUUAAACCUUUGGGUUUAGCCGCUUUAAAUUUUCCUUUAGGUUCCCAAGAAGGUUCCAAGGUUUUUUUUUCCUAUUCGUUUAAGGUAA
rnacentral:misc_RNA from 1 species